rnacentral:rRNA from 1 species
GAUGAACGCUAGCGGCAGGCCUAAUACAUGCAAGUCGAGGGGCAGCGCGGUAGCAAUACUGGCGGCGACCGGCGCACGGGUGCGUAACACGUAUGCAACCUACCUUCAACUGGAGGAUAGCCCGGGGAAACUCGGAUUAAUACUCCAUAACACAGGGAUCCCGCAUGGGAAUAUUGUUAAAGCUACGGCGGUUGAAGAUGGGCAUGCGUUCGAUUAGCUAGUUGGUGUAGGUAACGGCUCACCAAGGCUACGAUCGAUAGGGGGUCUGAGAGGAUGAUCCCCCACACUGGUACUGAGAUACGGACCAGACUCCUACGGGA